UCGCAAGAUAAUUAAACUCAACUCUAUAUUUAUUAUAUUCAAGAUAAAUGAAAAAUUAAAAGCUUAUUGUUGGUUUAUGUUUUUUAAAUGAGCAUUUCAUAUUUAGUGCAUAGUAUCCACUUAUUCUUAAUAUAUUCUUCGCUAUACUGAUGGUUAUAUUUAAUUGAAAAUUUAUGUUCUGAACUAUUUUUUUAUAUUCAAAACAACUUUUAAUCUUUUUUUAAAAUUGAUUUUAGUACCGUAAUUGACAGAGGGUAAAAAUUGUAUUAUAAGAAAAUAAAAUACCAUUUUAUGAUGUCGAUAUACAAUUGACUCCGCUGUGACGUCAUCAAUAUAGUCACUACAAUUGUAAACAAAAGCAAAGAAAUCUCUCAUCGAAACACCUAAUAUAUAGUCACCUUGGGUCAAAACACGUCCAAUGACGUCAUAAUCAUCUCAUAAUAUAUACGUCUAUUUUUACUCUGGACAUCACUGAAAUAUAAGCAAAGGAACCUUUCCUUCUUCUAUUGGUUUUAUAUGGUAAUAGAAAACUUCGUAUAAAACCAUUUCGUAUAAAUUUAUGAGGUGAGAUAAAAACCAAAGUUCAAGUAAUCACUAAUUAUGUAUAUAUUGUAAAUAUUAAAUAUAUGAGCUGGUUAUUAAACCAGUAGUUAGUUUAUCCCAUAUAAUGCCAGUUUCUCAUGGAUUGUAUACUCCUAUCCACGUGUAAAUUCAAUUUAUUUAGCUUAAUUAUGGGUAAAUACUUAAAACUGGAUCGCUUUGAGGCAGAACCUACCGAAACUUCAUCGACGAAGAAGUGAAUCCAUUGGCGAAACUCUUUUAAUAAUUUCUUAAGUAAAAUCAUCACUGACAAAUCUAACGAAGAUGCCAACCUUACUCCUGAUUGUUAUCCUGUAGCGGUAAGGUCUAUGAGAUAUACUAAAGAAGAUGAAGAA
rnacentral:lncRNA from 1 species